UGCAUGGUGUCUUGCUAGUUCUUGUCAUA
rnacentral:piRNA from 1 species